UACUCAAUAGCUUAGUUGGUUAGAGCAUUGUGUUAAUAACCUGAAAGUUACAAGUUCAAUUCUUGAUUGGAUUA
rfam:Glycine soja cultivar W05 scaffold2517_22, whole genome shotgun sequence.